rnacentral:rRNA from 1 species
AUGGGCGCCAAGAAAACAAAACAGUUCCGGUAUGAGGUGAUGUGGGAACCACACUCCGACCUGAAACCAACAGUUGAGGCUGCAUGGGAGGCCAACGGUCACUAUCAAAUGGUUGGUGAAGUCCGCACAAAUCUUGAAGCGCUGGCUAGGAACCUGGGCGUGUGGGCACAAACCACUUUUGGAAGUGUAAGGGGAGAAAUUAGGAGUUUAAAGAAGGAAUUGGAUCGUCUUCGAAGUGAUGUUAGUCGGGUGGGUCCGUCUCAUGCAGAAAUCAAAAUUAAUGAUCGCUUGAUCGAACUUUACUUGCGGGGACCGAAAUUCCCAUUUUUUUCAUAUGCGGGCUUCCAUGAGGAGGAGGAAGAACUUGAUAAAGGCUCUGGAAAAACUGGAUGGCAACUCUAUACUUCGGAGGGAGUACAAGGUGUGGAAGAUGUUCUUCAGCAUGUGCCCGUGAAGGUUACACCGGAGAUGAAUGAAAUGCUCCUGGCCCCGUUUGAGGCGAAGGAAGUUAAAGCCGCUCUAUUUCAGAUGUUUCCUACUAAAGCUCCAGGCCCUGCCGGCUUUCCAGCUCACUUUUUUCAGAGGCAUUGGGAUAUUUGUGGAGAAACGGUGACUAGGGCAGUGUUGGCUAUUGUGAAAGGAGAAGGGAGCCCUGCAUGUUUGAAUGACACAUUGCUGGUUCUCAUCCCAAAGAUUGCUUCGAAAGUGCUAGCAAACAGGCUAAAACUGAUCCUGCCUGACAUAAUAUCAGAGGAGCAAUCCGCUUUUUUGCCAGGGAGGCUAAUAACUAAUAACAUCAUAUCAGCAUAUGAAUGUUUGCACUUCAUGAAGAGGAAUAUAGCAAAAAAUAACAGAUUUGCAGCUUUGAAGCUUGAUAUGAUGGAAGCAUAUGACCGUGUGGAGUGGUCUUAUUUGAAGUCUAUCAUGGAGAAACUGGGCUUUGCAGCACCUUGGGUUUCAGUCGUGAUGAAUAUGUUCCAACCUACAAGGGGAAUCCGACAGGGAGAUCCAAUCUCUCGUACCUUUUCUUGA